rnacentral:rRNA from 1 species
ACGAACGCUGGCGGCACGCUUAACACAUGCAAGUCGAACGAGAGAAGAGGAGCUUGCUUUUCUGAUCUAGUGGCGGACGGGUGAGUAACACGUGAGCAAUCUGCCUUUCAGAGGGGGAUACCGAUUGGAAACGAUCGUUAAUACCGCAUAACAUAAUUUAACCGCAUGAUUUGAUUAUCAAAGAUUUAUCGCUGAAAGAUGAGCUCGCGUCUGAUUAGCUAGUUGGUAAGGUAACGGCUUACCAAGGCGACGAUCAGUAGCCGGACUGAGAGGUUGAUCGGCCACAUUGGGACUGAGACACGGCCCAGACUCCUACGGGAGGCAGCAGUGGGGAAUAUUGCACAAUGGAGGAAACUCUGAUGCAGCGAUGCCGCGUGAGGGAAGAAGGUUUUAGGAUUGUAAACCUCUGUCUUCAGGGACGAAAAAAGACGGUACCUGAGGAGGAAGCUCCGGCUAACUACGUGCCAGCAGCCGCGGUAAUACGUAGGGAGCGAGCGUUGUCCGGAAUUACUGGGUGUAAAGGGAGCGUAGGCGGGAUCGCAAGUCAGAUGUGAAAACUAUGGGCUUAACCCAUAAACUGCAUUUGAAACUGUGGUUCUUGAGUGAAGUAGAGGUAAGCGGAAUUCCUAGUGUAGCGGUGAAAUGCGUAGAUAUUAGGAGGAACAUCAGUGGCGAAGGCGGCUUACUGGGCUUUAACUGACGCUGAGGCUCGAAAGCGUGGGGAGCAAACAGGAUUAGAUACCCUGGUAGUCCACGCCGUAAACGAUGAUUACUAGGUGUGGGGGGACUGACCCCUUCCGUGCCGCAGCAAACGCAAUAAGUAAUCCACCUGGGGAGUACGACCGCAAGGUUGAAACUCAAAGGAAUUGACGGGGGCCCGCACAAGCAGUGGAGUAUGUGGAUUAAUUCGAAGCAACGCGAAGAACCUUACCAGGUCUUGACAUCGUAUGCAUAGCUCAGAGAUGAGUGAAAUCUCUUCGGAGACAUAUAGACAGGUGGUGCAUGGUUGUCGUCAGCUCGUGUCGUGAGAUGUUGGGUUAAGUCCCGCAACGAGCGCAACCCUUACUGUUAGUUGCUACGCAAGAGCACUCUAGCAGGACUGCCGUUGACAAAACGGAGGAAGGUGGGGAUGACGUCAAAUCAUCAUGCCCCUUAUGACCUGGGCCUCACACGUACUACAAUGGCUGUCAACAGAGGGAAGCAAAGCCGCGAGGUGGAGCGAACCCCUAAAAGCAGUCUUAGUUCGGAUUGUAGGCUGCAACCCGCCUACAUGAAGUCGGAAUUGCUAGUAAUCGCAGAUCAGCAUGCUGCGGUGAAUACGUUCCCGGGCCUUGUACACACCGCCCGUCACGCCAUGGGAGUCGGUAACACCCGAAGCCUGUAGUCUAACCGCAAGGAGGACGCAGUCGAAGGUGGGAUUGAUGACUGGGGUG